AGAGAGACAUCUUCUACCUGCUGGUUCACUCUCCAAAUGGCCACUAUGGCCAGAGCUGCGCUUAUCUGAAGACAGGAGCCAGGAGCAUCCUCUGGAUCUCCCACGUGGGUGCAGGGGCCCAAGGACUUGUGCCAUCCACCACUGCUUUCCCAGGCCAUAGCAGAGAGCUGGAUCAGAAGAGGAGCAGGCAGGACUCUACUGGCACCAUAUGGCAUACUGGCACUGCAGGCGGAGGCUUAACCUACAGUGCCAGCCCCAGGUUUAUUUAUUUCUUUAUUUGAAAGGCAGAUUGACAGAGAGUAAAACAAUAAGAUCUUCCAUCUGCUGAUUCACUCCCUAAGUAGCCACAAUGGGCCAGGCCAAAACCAGGAGGCCAGAACUCCACUCAGGUCUCCCACAUGGGUGACUGGGACCCAAGUGCUUGGACCAUCUUCUGCUGCUUUCCUAGGCAGAUUAGCAGGGAGUGUGAUCAGAAGUGUAGCAGCCAGCAUUUGAACUGGCACUCUAAUAUGGGAUGCCAGUGUUGCAAAAGUCAAGGCAGCUUAACUCAUUGUGCUACAACACCAGCCUCUCUCCCUCACCCCCCCCGCCCUUUUUUAAGAAAAAAAAAUGCUUGUUUGGUGUUUUAGAAAAGUCAUUAUUGGGGCCAUUGCUGUGGUGUAGCGGGUAAGACCACUGCCUGCAGUACCAGCAUCCCAUGUGGGCGCAGGUACUAGUCCCGGCUGCUCCACUUCCAAUCCAGCUCCCUGCUAUGGCCUGGGAAAGCAGUGGAGGAUGGCCCAAGUCCUUGGGCCCCUGCACCCAAGUGGGAAAACCAGAAAAAGCUCCAAGGUUUUGGCUUCAGAUUGGCCCAGCUCUGGCUGUUGUGGCCAUUUGGAAAGUGAACCAGUGGAUGGAAGACCUCUCUCUCUCUGCCUCUACUUCUGUAACUCUGCCUUUCAAAUAAAUAAAUAUUUUUUAAAAGUCAUUAUUUAAUGGACUCUAUUAGUAAGAUGAUAACCUAGGCCAUUCAUGUCUUACAGCUGCUAAAAACACCUGGUGCUCCCGGGCACUGUCCAGUGAAACAGUUGGGCUUUUUCCAUUCAGAUGCUGCCCCAUCCCCCAGCCAGGUGUGGGAAUGUCAAAAAGAGACUGCCCUCAAUAUAGAAAUGCCUUGCCCUGUGCCCACUCUUCCAAUCUAGAAAAAAGAGUCAUGCCAGAAAGUAGCAACAAAGCUUUGACAAUUUUAAUAUUUGUAAAUUAUCAGCAUUGCAAACCCGUCACAUUCAGGUAACUCCUUUUCACCCCAGAGGGUAGGGCAGUGAAAUGCCGCUGCAGGCCACAGAUGGAAAUGUGUGCUGUUAAUUAAGCUUCUCAAGGCAGGCCAGUCACUACUGGUUUUAAUCAUCAAUGGAGUGUUUUAUCCACAGGUUUGUCAGCAGAAAAAUUAAGUAGUGUUUAACAGAAAGGGAAAUUAAGCAAAUGUUUGAGCUGGUACUGUUUUAUAAAGAUAAAUCCUUUUUUUCUGCCUACAAUCAAAUGUUUGUUUUGGCAUGCCAUUCACAGGGCUUCAGUGUUAAAACUCGAAGCCCUAACAGCUUGCGUUGGUUUACGUUGUUUGCUGUUGGAAUUUGUCCAAAGCUCCUGUUUCUUGUGAUUUUCUACUGAAUGGCUCCACAAUCUCCAUUCAGAUUCCAUCAGGAUGGCUCCUUUUCAUAUAGAAUCAGUGGUAAUCAUAGGAAAAAGUAUCACCAUAAAUCAAAUGGGAAAUUGAGUACUAUGUGGGGUUAGGGAUGACCAAAGGUGAAAUUAAAUUUCAGUCCUAUUACCCGAGGAAUAAAAUAGAUUCUUUGAAAAUUCUUUGCCCAUCCAUGGAGUGCUUUCAUAUAAAGCUCUCUCCUGUUCCCUCCCUCUCCCCACUCCCACUCAUUUGUCUUCUCAAAGCAGUUUGCAUCCUGGCUCACUGUGGAGAGAGAAGGGAACUGGUUUUAAAUAGGACCAAAGGAACUCUACUCCAAGGAACUCUAAGGACUAGCCACUGGAAAAAGACCGCCUUAUGUCUGCACACAGGACGAGUCUCAGCCUUACGUGCGAUGGCUGGAGCACCACAGCAAAGGACAAGGAGAAAGUCUGCCGCAGCGUCAGUUUUACAGGUGUGACACCAUGAAGUUGUCCCACGUUUUCCACUGGCUGAAUUUGGGAACAUGAUCGCCUGUGAGAUUUUGAAAACUGAUUUUCAUCUAUUUCUGCUUUAUCCUCAUUGCUUUGCCCACUGGGAGGUGCUAAAGAGCUACACAUUGGAGGCAUGUCUGGGCCACCUUCCCAGAGUUUCUGAGGAUUUGGUUGUGUUCUGAAGCUGCUCGUGGAACUGUCUGUCUGUCUGUCUCUCCCGCUGAAUCUCGCAUUCUCGGUUCCGGAUGCGCAUCUGAAUUCCUCUGCCAGCAGCACGCCUGCUGCUGCGUCUGGAUCACCAGCUCCACCUCCAGCAUCAUAAUCUGAAAUCCCCAGACCACACAAUCAGAGGCAUCUUGCAUGUAAAUAACUCAGAACUUUAAUUAGUAGAACAAAGUUAUGAAAUAAGUCUUCUACGGAUUUUGAUGCUUCAUGGAAACACAGGCCUGCUCUAGACCUCUGGUGCCUUUCCACACUUGCCCCCUGCUGGGCUUGCCCCUGGUGAAUGCCACACCCAGGCCAGGUUCUGCUCUGGAAACAGGAAAUACAGAAGGCUAACUGCUAUAGUUUGAGUAAGAUUUAACUCCCAACUCAUGCAGGAUAAGUCCUAAGGAUCUAAGGAUCCCAAAGUCGUGUGAUCCCUCCUCUGCAUGUGCUAUGCCACUGCCAUCCUCAGGCCUCACCAGACAGAUGCCCAACUAAUGAAGCCGCGGACCUCCCAAACGGUGCGCCAAAUAGACAUCUUCCUUCAGGUGUUUAGCUGUAGUGACAAAUCUGAAUAAUACUGCUCUUCAAAAGACACUUUCUGACCUACUCUCUCCUACUGGCACACUUAGAAAGAGGUCCUCCUAGUUGCUUUCAGAUUCAUGAGAAUGAAGACCAAGAAGCUUGGACUGAAGCAGUAAUGGUCCUGAUUGGCAGUGAUUCGGUUGCUAUAGUAGCUGUUUGGCUGUUCGUAUACUGGCCAUCUGCCUGGGGUCCAUGGGGCUCGGUGACGGUGAUGACUCUCUGGCCUGACUGGAAUUGAUAGUUGAACAGCUGCUCACUGACAACAAGUCUCGGGCUUCUGAUCAUUUCCUAUUGGCUGAUCUAUUGGGAACAUUAAUCUCGGCUUUAAAAUAGUGGGAAGAGCAGAGCCUGCUUCAGAACUACACUAAGAAGAACCAACUGUGCGGAAGAAGGGUCCAGAGAAGCUCAUGUGCCUGAGAGGAACCCCAGCGAUUGCAGGAGGGCCAUCACUCCCUCUAACCAGUCCGAGAGGCUGCUAAAUAACUCCCUGAACAGCCUCUCACUUGCUCCAGUCUAAAACAGUCACUACUAGAUUCAGCAAGAUGUGGAAUACGGUCCCAAACAUCAGCCUUUCUCAGCCAAGGUUCCAUGGAAUCACUGUAUGUAAUAAAUGACCAAGUAUCACUCAAGAACCAUGAAUAGAGACAAGUCGGUGCCCUCCCUGGAAGAACUGAGAACUCACAACACUUUCUGUGCUCUGAGAUUUCAGAUGAGAAGUCCAUAACCAGGGAAAGCACUCCUAACACCUGGCAAUGCCCACAGGGGCCGUGACAGGACUGCAACGGGAGGACAUCUCCGUCCUUAGCUGGGCCUGGUUUAUGGUGCCAAACAGGUGCCAGGUGAACUCAUUGCAUCUGACAAAGGCUCAAGGAAACAAGUGCACCAGAUUGAUCAUUUUUAUGGGGAUGUGACAGAGACCGAGGAUGUUACUCCGGAGAUCCAUCAUCAUACAGCACCUCCAGUUCCAAAGAAUACUGACUUACUUCAGGUGACAGCAAGCGACCGCUUUGCAGUUUUUCGUCCACACUGUUUCUUCGUUUCUGGAGCUGAUCCCUUUCUUUCUGGAGGGCGUGAACUUGUUCAGAAAUCUUUAUUUUCUCCUCUGCUGUGCUGCCCUGCAGCUGUGCAUUCUUCUCAAACAACUCUUCAUCCAGCAAGUUCAG